AGUCGCCUGCCGCCGAUGGCCCCAGGCCCCCGGAAUUCUCUGGGCGGCCCUGCCCUCCCCCACAAGACCUGCCACCCUUUUCAUUCCACUUUCCCUCUCUCUCCAUCGCUCACUGCUUUUCCCCUCUCCCCUACUUCCUGUCUCAGUUGGGAAGGACUUGCCUGCAGAGCCAGGGCUGGGAGCUGCAGCUGCCCAAUGCAGAUAGAAGGUGACCAAAGCUGACUAGUUGUUGGCGCAGUUGAUGACUUGGCGCUUCCCCGCCUCCCCCCACUGCAGUAACCAGACUUUGAGUGUCCAGUCAGUAGAUCAGACCAGAAACCAUCAGGCUGUCUUUUCGACCGUUCGAAAACCAGACACACCUGGCCAACCGACUGGCACUCAACUGGCCAAUUCUGGAAAUCUGUCUUUGCUGGUAGGCAGUGGAUCUGUCAGAUGAAGCCUUCUGAAGUCUUGAAAAAAAUGACUGCCAGCCUCCAUGAUUAAAAACAGAUUGUCCUCAUCCUGAGUCCCAGGCCUCUUGUACUGUGAGUACUACAGAAGCACAGCAAAGACAUGGAAGAAAUCUAAGGGCCUGAUUCUCCUUUCACUUACACAGGAAAACCCAGGGGAAAGGACUAGAGAGGAGGAAGCAUCUGCAAAUAUUCUUCAGGGGAGACGGAACGUGACCUUCAAGGAGCUAUCCUUUAUCCACCACCUCAGAAACGUUUGGUGGUGAUGGGGAGCAUAUCCAGGGCCAUAGAAAUUUCUCCACUCCUACUGGUCUUUUGUGCUGUCCUGAGACCCCCCUGAACCUGCUGGGCAGCCCCCCCUCAAGUAAGGAAAGACUUUCUUAGGCAAAGCAUUGAUAUUGCUGAAAAUCCAUUUUUUUCUUUUUUUAAAUAAAAUCCAAUGAAGAUGUUUCAUGCUACUGCCUAAACGGUUUGUGCAGUUCUCAAAGCUGGGGAUUUUUUGCUCCUGUAAAUGCUGUGCUUGUGGAAAGUGCCAAAUUCACAAACUAAAGACUGUUGCCUCUGGUAAACCACUGAACAAGUAAUACACAAUACAGGUAGAGACCAGCAGUGAAACCUUCUCACGCUCCUGCACCAAUGUGCCUCAGCCCCAAGCUGGAGGAACUACUUUUAAUGCUGCAGGGGUAGUUCAGUCUCCAUUCAGUCCUUGGCUCUCCAGACAAGUGUGCCAAUUAAUGUUAAUUAUUGUGUUGAUUUCUGUGACUUGGGCAUCAUAGGCCAAAUUCAUGGCUGAUGUACCCCAAUCAAGUCAGUGAAUGAAUAUAGCCCCAUGUCUUUUAGGAACUGGACUGACACCAACAACUUAUUUCACUUACUCCAUCAAACAGCCAUUAAGUUGUUUCAAUCUCUACUGAUGUGGUCUGAAUUCAGAACAAUAGCCUCGUGAAAGUCUCAGCAUCCAAUUAUCAAUACUCUUUGCUGUAUAAUCUAAAUAAAAAUACUUAUGCUGGCCACUUUUCUCAAGUUACACUCACUACAAAGUGCAUGUGUGCAUGCAUGCUUGUAAUGUAAAGAGCAAAACAAGCAGAGAAGUUGCUCGGAUUUAAUGUAGCCAAUACAUGUUUCAGAUCAGAAGUCUCAUUAAAAGUGAGCAUUCAAGGCCCCAGAUUUCUCUCUUGCAAUUUUUCCUUCCUAAAGCAGUCCUCAGCCUACUCUUAUUGAGCACUGUUUGAAGUGUCACAUCAAUGAUUAUCUCAAGACAGUCCAUCUCUGGUGUAGCUGGCAUGCUUUCUGCCCCACCCCUUGCCUAGCUCAUGAUGUAGCUGCUUUUGUAGGAUAACAUUAUGUGAGGCAGCGCUUAGGAGGGGAAAGGGCAACGUACAACUUCUGCAGACUCCAUGCCCUGGGAUUGGGGUGGUGAGGGAGAACAGUUAUAUGCAAGUAUUAUGUCAAGCUUUGCACCAGUGACAAAACAAUAACGUCUGCCCAUCUUUCAAUCUACCCAAAGAGCAGCCCAAUGAAAAUCCCAUGGUAAACUACAGAUGAUUCCACUGAACAGCAUCUCAGUAACUUUCUAGAAGUAAAUUUCUCUGGAUAGUAUAUUAAAGUAGUUUUAACUGAGAAGCCAGCCCACACUAAGAGCUUUAUUUUUGAUGUAGAAACCUGUGUUUAUUGCCAAGCGAAAGGAGAGCAGCCACAGUUCCCCCUUUUAAUUAAACUAAACAUUGUAAAAUAUGAAAAUGGCAUAAAAAUAAGGCUAAACGUUUUAUUCUCAAAGAAUCUUCUAUUGUGUGUACUUCCAAGAAGAGUUAACAGAUUUCUUUUAUAGACAGCCAAUUUGAGUACUACCAAGCAGGACUUUAGCUUCAAAGAAGUUUGGAGGUGGUAAGUUGGUAAAUGCAUGUUUAUGUGUGGUUUUCUAUAGAAGUAUGUAGAUGAGAAAUUUCUCCACAACCACUUCCUAAAAGGAAUCUUCCAAAUACAUUUAAUCUGAGGCUGUUGAUUAUUCACAAUUAAUUCACACGAUCAACUACCAAAAAAAUUGCAAUUUA